CUGGAGUUAGACGGUGAAGCGAGAAACAGUGGAGCGCCGUUGAGUCCUGGAGCCGCUGGGUUACUGAAAGUGGAAGAUUGACAGAUGGGAAACUCAAUCUAAACAUCACAUCAAGAUCUGACAGAGUCACUCAUUUCAUGAGGACCUGAACAUCAUUGCCCUUUGAAUGUGGAAAGGAAAAGGUUUGUCUGAACUGCCUGUGGGAGAAGAUUUUAGGUAUCAGUGUGACUGGAAAAGCACCAAGACACACAAACCCAGCUUCACAGGGUAUUAGAAGAGGAGGAUUUGCAGUCAGGAAACUCAAACCAGACAUCACAUCAGAAUCUGACAGAGUCAUCCAAUUGAUCGGAACUUGAAUAUCAUCGGAUUUUGAACAUGGAAGGACAAAGCACCGUUCACAGUGGGGAGAAACUGUACAUGUGUUCGGUGUGUAGACGAGGCUUCAGGCAAUCGUCUGGCCUGUGGAAACACAAGUUAAGAAGAAACUGCAGACACAAUUGAGAAAAGAAUAGAAUGAUAUGCUGAUAGAAGUGAGAGGCUCACGUGGAGCAUAAACACUGGCAUGGACCAGUUGGACAGAAUGACCUGUUU